rnacentral:lncRNA from 1 species
AUCAAAAUCACAUGAAAAGUGACCACGGACUCCAUCAAGCUCACAACCAUCUUGCCCACUCGAAUUUAGAUAAAAAGCACCCAAUUCAAUCAGCCAAGGUGAGUGUAAAAGUUCAAUAUGCUCAGCAUGCAUCUUGGAUUUGAAAUUCUCCCCAUUCAUAGAGCUGUGCACCUGUAAAAUAGCAAAGGAUGGAGUGAACUAAAAAACACUUAAGUUAACUAAGUAUAAAUGAAAAUGGAGGGGGGCAUAUUAAAGUGGCAACUGUCUCAUAUAAUACAUACUUUAUCAUAUUUCUUAAGUAUUUUCCUCAUUGCAAUUGCAUUCAUGGUAAUGUACUCAAUUAGAGGGGGGCAUAUUAAAGUGGCAACUGUCUCAUAUAAUACAUACUUUAUCAUAUUUCUUAAGUAUUUUCCUCAUUGCAAUUGCAUUCAUGGUAAUGUACUCAAUUAGAAUUCUUCCUUCUUGGGCAAGGGCUUGCCGAUCAUUUUUAAAACACUGGCGCAAACUCAGUACAUAUCUCUGCAGUCCUUUUGCAAUAUGGAGAUGAAGAAGAUGCUGAACUCUUGAACUAAAGUAGCCUGCUAUGUCUGAUGCUUCCUUCAUCAGCUCGGAGAAAAACUUCUGAUCGCAUACUACAAGUGGAAAAUAAAAAUACAUAACAAGACUGCAUAAAGUAAAAGACUUGUUAAAUAACAAGGCACGUAAUAAUACUUAAGCAUUUUGCUUAAAUACAGUUUAAAACCAAUGGCAGGUAACAUAAGCUUAUCAACUGCAAGGAAUAUUUGAAGCAAUGAAGUAUAAAGUAAAUUAACUACGUGAUACCAAACUUUGGUAUUAGAGAAGUUCUUGAAGUAAAACCGUAUUCACUGAAUAAAUACUAGAUAAAAAGCACCCAAUUCAAUCAGCCAAGGUGAGUGUAAAAGUUCAAUAUGCUCAGCAUGCAUCUUGGAUUUGAAAUUCUCCCCAUUCAUAGAGCUGUGCACCUGUAAAAUAGCAAAGGAUGGAGUGAACUAAAAAACACUUAAGUUAACUAAGUAUAAAUGAAAAUGGAGGGGGGCAUAUUAAAGUGGCAACUGUCUCAUAUAAUACAUACUUUA